GUGAACGCUGGCGGUAGGCCUAACACAUGCAAGUCGAACGGCAGCACAGUAAGAGCUUGCUCUUACGGGUGGCGAGUGGCGGACGGGUGAGGAAUACAUCGGAAUCUACUUUUUCGUGGGGGAUAACGUAGGGAAACUUACGCUAAUACCGCAUACGACCUACGGGUGAAAGCAGGGGAUCUUCGGACCUUGCGCGAUUGAAUGAGCCGAUGUCGGAUUAGCUAGUUGGCGGGGUAAAGGCCCACCAAGGCGACGAUCCGUAGCUGGUCUGAGAGGAUGAUCAGCCACACUGGAACUGAGACACGGUCCAGACUCCUACGGGAGGCAGCAGUGGGGAAUAUUGGACAAUGGGCGCAAGCCUGAUCCAGCCAUACCGCGUGGGUGAAGAAGGCCUUCGGGUUGUAAAGCCCUUUUGUUGGGGAAGAAAAGCAGCAGGUUAAUACCCCGCUGUUCUGACGGUACCCAAAGAAUAAGCACCGGCUAACUUCGUG
rnacentral:rRNA from 1 species